GUUAGGAAUAUUGGACAAUGGGCGCAAGCCUGAUCCAGCCAUGCCGCGUGUGUGAAGAAGGUCUUCGGAUUGUAAAGCACUUUAAGUUGGGAGGAAGGGCAGUAAGUUAAUACCUUGCUGUUUUGACGUUACCGACAGAAUAAGCACCGGCUAACUUCGUGCCAGCAGCCGCGGUAAUACGAAGGGUGCAAGCGUUAAUCGGAAUUACUGGGCGUAAAGCGCGCGUAGGUGGUUUUGUAAGGUGGAGGUGAAAUCCCCGGGCUCAACCUGGGAACUGCCUCCAAAACUGCAUGACUAGAGUACGGUAGAGGGUAGUGGAAUUUCCUGUGUAGCGGUGAAAUGCGUAGAUAUAGGAAGGAACACCAGUGGCGAAGGCGACUACCUGGACUGAUACUGACACUGAGGUGCGAAAGCGUGGGGAGCAAACAGGAUUAGAUACCCGGGUAGUCC
rnacentral:rRNA from 1 species